GCCCGAGUGGCGGAAUGGUAGACGCAGGGGAUUCAAAAUCCCCCGCCGCAAGGUGUGCUGGUUCGAGUCCAGUCUCGGGUACCA
rnacentral:tRNA from 1 species